rnacentral:lncRNA from 1 species
UUGUCAAAAAAAUGCCUGGACUCAGAUUCGUUCAACAACAAAAAACUUUUUGCAUCUUGGAACAGAAGCUGCAUGACCAAAAGUGAAAAUAUUGAAGAUUUUGCAUCCAGCCAGGAAGAAGCUGAUACCAAAAUCAUUUUACAUGCUACAUAUGCUGCCAAUCAUGCUGAAAAAAAAAGAAGAAACAUGUAUUACUGUGUGCUCUCCGGACACCGAUAUAUUUAUUCUUCUCUUGAAGUACAGCGUAAUCUUUGGUUGCCAACUGCAGUUUCAGACUGGAACAGGAGCAAAAAAGAGAAAUGUUGAUAUAAACAAAAAAAAGGCCAACAGCUCACGUACCUACAGAAAGAGGCUUUACCCGCGUUUCAUGCGCUAUCAGGCUGCGAUGUCACAGGAGGUUUUGCAAAAAAAGGCAAACUGAAGUUUUUUAAAGCGUUUCAAGCUGCAGAUGAUCAAAUAUUAGCUUCUUUAAUCGAUCUUGGCAAUAUUGAAAUAAAAGUGGAGAAAAUAUCAAAUCAGCUAGAAAAAUUUAUUUGCAUGGUGUAUAACCUAAAAGCCAAUAUAACGACACUGGCGGAGUUACGCUGGUGGGGAUUUUCCAAACAGCAGCUGGAAAGUGAGCAGAGCUCCCUCUAACCCAAAGUUCACUAUUACCAGCUUUACGAAGAGCCCGAUUACAGGCAUAUAUUUGGAUAAAUGUCCAUAAAAAAAACUCAAGUAGAACCAACCGAGUAUCGCUGGCGAAAAGAAGAGAAUGUGUUUCUACCAGUUCUCUCUGAUCUACCAAAUGUUGCGCCAAAUGAAAUUUUAAAUUUAAUCUCAUGUGCCUGCAAAAAAAUAGAUGCACCACAAAACAGUGCAAGUGUGUUCAAAAUAAACUUCAAUGCACGGAGAGUUGUAUGUGUGUGGACGAACUCUGUGAGAACCACAACUCUUUUGAAAAUGAGAGUUCUGAUGAUGAAUAAUUUCUUUUUAACCUGUAAAGUAAUUUUUAGUUUUUUAUGUG